GUGCUUGCUUUGGCAGCACAUAUACUAAAACUGGAACGAUACAGAGGAGGUUAGCAUGGCCCCUGCACAGGGAUGACACACAAAAUCAUAAACAAAGCUGGUUAAG